ACCGAGCAGGAAGUUGUAGUGGCGAUGGUGCAGAGGGAGAGCGCGCUGAAAGAAGUUAAAUACGGCAUGUUUUUUGCGUUUUUGAGGAUGGAGGGUCAUAUUUAUUGCGUUGCUGAAGAAAGAGCACCAGCACCUGAAUCUACGUCAUCAAAGAAAAGGAAAUACGGCACCGAAAAACGUGUUUCGCGGCAGACGCCGGAAGAUAACGACAAUAAACAUCGCUGUUACCGAGUGGAGUAGGUUAUUUCACAUACUUCUCUACAUGUUAUGUGUAGUUUUAUAUCUGUAACUAGAACACACGCCAGCGUUUUGUGUUUGUAUUUCGUGGCUAUAGUUACUAAUGCACAUAACGUGAGCCACUUCAACUCCGAUCGAAUAGAAACAUCGUAAAGUCAUGAAAUAUUCUACUCUGACAUAAUAACAUUAGUGCUUUCGGAAGCAUUUCGUGUUAUAUUGUACGUUUUUCGACCUAGUCUUGUUGUGGGUUUGUGUAGGUGAGCAGACCCUCCCUCUCUUAGCAGGUAUCACAUUAGCUGCAGAACUUUAGCAGGUAACACGUUAGCUGCCAAACUUUAGCAGAUAACACAUUAGCCGCCACUUUAGCAGGUAAAACGUAAGCUGCCACUUUAGUAGGUAACACGUUAGCUGUCACUUUAGCGGGUAACACGUUAGCUGCCAAACUUUAGCAGGUAACACGUUAGCUGCCAAACUUUAUCAGGUAACCCGUUUGCUGUCACUUUAGCAUGUACGUUUACCUGCUAAAAUAGCAGCUAACGUGUUACCUGCUAACGUGCUAGGGGAGUGUUAAAGGUAACAGACGUGGUUCAGAAAUGUUUGAACAGAUGAAGGUUUACCUCACUUUCAAAUCCAGGUGAUGAGAAGGACGACAGUUCCGAUGAGAAGCAUCUUCCACCAGUCACAGUGUCAGACCAACUGCUUCGUCUUCAGUCGUCCAGUGUAUGAGGACAGCAUUCUGCCCUCAAAAGAAGAGAAGACCUAAACCUUCAUCCCUGAGCUACAAGCAAGGACCGUGUAGAGGGCUCAACCCAGGAGUGAGGACGCGUCAACAUCAGAGACAUUGACCAGGUGACCACGGACGGCCUGAUUUAGUUCAACCCAGCCCUGCACCGUCCACGUCAGUGUUGAAGUCAGGAGAGGUCUGGGACCUGACUUGACUGGGCUGAAUGAGGUGAAACUUUUUGAAAUGCAACUGGCACAAAGAUGGAACAUACUGUAUUUUUGUUGUUAGUAUUUAAUAUAAGAAAUCAUUGCCAUUUUAGCUGAUGUCUAAUUUUAUUAGCCUUGGUGGUUUUGAUAUUCGACCUGCAAUUUAACAUGGGCCUGUUAUUAUUUCUAUUUGAGAAUAUAAGAAAGAAAGAUGCCUUUUGUUUACUUCACAGGAGAGAAACUGUGUUUGAAAUUUAAAGAAAGCCAAUAAAACAGUUUUUUGAAUUUAAAUA